GAUGAACGCUGGCGGCGUGCCUAAUACAUGCAAGUCGAGCGAACGGACGAUAAGCUUGCUUCUCUGAUGUUAUCGGCUGACGGGUGAUUAACACGUGUAUAACCUACCUAUAAUUCUGGGAUAACUUCGGGAAACCGGAUCUAAUACCGGAUAAUAUUUUGAACCUCAUGGUUCAUAAGUGAAAGACGGUCUUUCUGUCACUUAUAGAUGGAUCCGCGCUGCAUUAGCUAGUUGGUAAGGUAACGGCUUACCAAGGCAACGAUGCAUAGCCGACGUGAGAGGGUGAUCGGCAACACUGGAACAGAGACACGGAACAGAGUACUACGGGAGGAAGCAGUAGGGAAUAUUGCGCAAUGGGCGAAAGCAUGACGGAGAAAAGCCGCGUGAGUGAUGAAGGGCUUAGGAUCGUAAAACUAUGUUAUUAGGGAAGAAAAAAUGUGUAAGAAAAUGUGAAGAAAAUGACGGUACCUAAUAAGAAAGCAACGGCUAACUACGUG
rnacentral:rRNA from 1 species